CUUGGCACACGUGCUCGUGGAAACCGUAUCCGGUACACUUCUUGCAACGAGGGUGGCACUUCCGACAGACUGCCUUUCCUGCCAGAGGCUUCAAGGCUCCUAGCUCUUGAGGACUCACCCACUCGUAGCUGCAACCCUUUGACUGGGAAGAACGUAUGAGGAAUUAGGCUGUUUACAAAUUAGACUUUAUAUACGAAUUUCGACUUCAUUUUUACGAAAAAUUUUUAGAGCUUUCUGAAUAGAUCGAGUCACUCACCAUCUGGACAGGGUUCCCCUUUCUGCAAACAUCCUUCAGGUACGCUCCCGUUCAUGAUCGCCUUAUCGCAGCUGUGACAUCCAUUAGG